UACGUAGGGUGCGAGCGUUAAUCGGAAUUACUGGGCGUAAAGCGUGCGCAGGCGGUUUUGUAAACCAGAUGUGAAAUCCCCGGGCUCAACCUGGGAAUGGCAUUUGGGACUGCAAGGCUGGAGUGUGGCAGAGGAGACUGGAAUUCCUGGUGUAGCAGUGAAAUGCGUAGAUAUCAGGAGGAAUACCGAUGGCGAAGGCAGGUCUCUGGGCUGACACUGACGCUCAUGCACGAAAGCGUGGGGAGCAAACAGG
rnacentral:rRNA from 1 species